rnacentral:rRNA from 1 species
UACAGAGGUCUCAAGCGUUGUUCGGAUUCAUUGGGCGUAAAGGGUGUGUAGGUGGCGCCGUAAGUCGGGUGUGAAAUUUCGGAGCUUAACUCCGAAACUGCAUUCGAUACUGCGGUGCUUGAGGACUGGAGAGGAGACUGGAAUUCAUGGUGUAGCAGUGAAAUGCGUAGAGAUCAUGAGGAAGACCAGUGGCGAAGGCGGAUCUCUGGGCCAUAACUGACGCUGAGGAGCGAAAGCAUGGGGAGCGAACAGG